rnacentral:lncRNA from 10 species
CUCAGAGAUUCUCUCCAGCGGCAGCGGAAAACGGACAAUGGGUGGAUUCGGGUCCAGAUUCUGGUAGGAGGGAGUUUGGGAUCGAGAUCUGGAAAAAAGCACUAGACUGGAAGAGGACGCGAUGGAGUCGGAGCCGCUGGCGGGGACAAAAACCAGAGGCCGGGGAAGGCGCCGGUGGGAGGCAAGGCACGGAUGGACUUUACCUGCGCACGCGUCGCAGCCAUCUCCGCGCACAGUGGUGGCCACCGCGACUGGUGCUGAAGUGUUGGCGCGUGCCGGGCGCUCCGCUGGGACCCGGGUUGCUGGCCCUGAGUCUCAGCUUUCUCAUCUGUACGGUUGGGACAAGUACAGUAACCCUCGCCCGUCAAGACGGGCCAGGGCUGUGGCGAGGGUCCACGCCUUAGAGCAGGUACCUAUCUUGUGCAGGGCCCUGAGAUGGGGUCUGACUCAGUUCCUGCGGGGAACUUCACCAGUGACCCAGUCAGUGCCCUUCAGUUAAAGACCACCAGGAGCACACUUGCAGGAGUAGGGCUGAUUGGAGCCAUUGUACAGUGUCGGGAACAUACCAGGACACUGAGAAUAGUGUCAUGUCAUAAGGACCCAGAGCAGAUGGACCCUGCUGUGAUGCACAAAGAGGACCACGCAAGAUAUGAUAAAGAUCUACAUCACUGAAUUUUGGUUCCAUUUUUGUAUCUCAGCUUCCAGGAAAUAAAAAAGAAUUCUAACAUUCAUACUUUCAGUAUUUUAUGUGAGAGGUUUUGUUGUCAAAAUCAAGUCUGAGAGCAAUGUUUGUUGGGGCCUUUAAUUGGAGUCACCAAGCGAUAAAGGGGACAUUGUCCUCAACAAUAACCCUAUAAUAAACACGUUUUGGACAAUAAAUAUAUGACAAUUUCUUAAAAGCAAUUUCUUGGGCAAUCAAGACAGUAUGGCUUGAGUAUGGAGUUAUACGAUGGUUUGGAUUAAUCCAGUAUUAAAUCUUUGGUUAUUACAGAAAUCAAUGGAGCCUAUUCUUCCAAAUAAUCCUUAAAUAUUACUUAUCUCAACUGAGAUUUUGGUGAAAAUUUAGCUUUAGAGCUUUUAUUGACCUGCCAAUGACCUGAAGUUAAGAUUAUUCUUUUCUACUGAAUGAAGACAAACUACCUUAUAAAAAUUAACCCAGAAGGCUGUAGAGGGAUGAAAUGGGAUUUUGUUGGCACCAAGACCUGAUUGCUUUGCCAGUUACCCUCACCCCUGGCUCACAAGGAAAGUGUAUGGAGGAGAUUCUCGAGGAACCACAUGAGUUUUAAUAUCAUAAGCUUCUGCCCUGAAUUGAAAGAUAGCAGCAUUUUAAUCAUCUCUUCCAUUAAACCAAGAUUACACAAAAGCGUUUGAGGACACUGAGGACUGGGACUUCUAAUUUUGCUUCAGAAACCAGUACUCAAAAUGUCUGGUUUGGAGGAGCUGGGCUGCUUGGAUCAGAGGUUCCAUGGUCUGAACUACUCCACUCUGGUGAAGGUUUCUUCCCCAAAGCCACUCCUCAAGCUGACUUAUAUUGUACCUGAGUUGCAUGCCUGUGCUCCAAGAGCAGACGUCCUUCCGCAGGAGCAGGUCAUUAAGAGUCACUGCGUUGAUCAUGUAGAAGAGCUGUUUGAAUACCUGCAGGAUGAUCUCAGGGUCCAAGCCCUGGUCACACAUGACUGUAUGAAAGGCAUUCAUCUGGCGGAUGAUAGCUUCCAGGCGGUAUGAGUUAUCCCCAUCUGCCAUGCUGGAGGAGUGCUUCUGGGAGCCAGUGGGCUUCACACCAGAUAGACCCUGAAUGCUGUCAUUUUCCAACAUGGCAGAAACUAUCAUCGGCUGUAACACACCCUCGGCAAUUUUAAAGAGCUGCUGGUAGAUCUGAAUGGAAAGGUCGCUCAGUACCUGACGGUAUUCGGUGAGGUCAAAGUUCUUAAGGCAGUGUUCGUUGUGCUUUGCUG